rnacentral:rRNA from 1 species
UGGGCGUAAAGCGGGCGCAGACGGUUACUUAAGCAGGAUGUGAAAUCCCCGGGCUCAACCUGGGAACUGCGUUCUGAACUGGGUGACUAGAGUGUGUCAGAGGGAGGUAGAAUUCCACGUGUAGCAGUGAAAUGCGUAGAGAUGUGGAGGAAUACCGAUGGCGAAGGCAGCCUCCUGGGAUAACACUGACGUUCAUGCCCGAAAGCGUGGGUAGCAAACAGGAUUAGAUACCCUGGUAGUCCACGCCCUAAACGAUGUCGAUUAGCUGUUGGGCAGCUUGACUGCUUAGUAGCGAAGCUAACGCGUGAAAUCGACCGCCUGGGGAGUACGGUCGCAAGAUUAAAACUCAAAGGAAUUGACGGGGACCCGCACAAGCGGUGGAUGAUGUGGAUUAAUUCGAUGCAACGCGAAGAACCUUACCUGGUCUUGACAUGUACGGAACCCUCCAGAGACGGAGGGGUGCCUUCGGGAGCCGUAAUACAGGUGCUGCAUGGCUGUCGUCAGCUCGUGUCGUGAGAAG